GCCUUUGGUCUGGCUCUCCCCAUCGCUGGGUUCAGUGCCUGACUGAAUGGAAAACCCGUCGUCUUGCAGCCACUAACCUGUGAGCGCCGGGUACCUGGAGACCAGGCCCCUCUGCUGGGGGCCCCCAGGAGCGGUGCCCCAUCAUUUUGCAGCCCACUGACUCCCAGCCUGGUGUGAAAACUGAGGCCCGGAGAGGUGAUGUGAUUUGCCUAAAGUCAUGCAACUAGUGGCAGAGCCAGGCCUAG
rnacentral:lncRNA from 1 species